rnacentral:rRNA from 1 species
GUUAAAAGCUCGUAGUUGAACGUUCGGGUUCCGCGGGACGGGGCCGCCCCGCGAGGGACGGCGCCGCCCCGGGGCUCGUGAUAUCUCAUCUCGCCGCCCGUCGCGAGGCGGACGGAGGGAUGGAUGAGGUUACCUGGAAAAAAUCGGGGCGAUCUAGGCGGGCGAACCUCGCCAACGAACGAUCGGACAUGGGAUAACGGAAGAGGGCGUCGGCUCGACUUCGUCGGUUCCUCGGGCCGAGGCACGUACGGUGAAUAGGGACGGUCGGGGCCGCCCGUACCGGGUCGUGAGAGGUGAAAAUUCUAGGAUCGACCCGAGACGAACCGCCGCGAAAGCAUUCGGCAAGGACGCUUUCAUUAAUCAAGAACGAAAGUCGGGGGAUCGAAGACGAUCAGAUACCGUCGUAGUCCCGACCGUAAACGAUGCCGACCGAGGGCCCGGAGGAGUUACGUACGACCCUCCGGGCCCUCCCGCGAGAAAUCAGGAG